GACGAACGCUGGCGGCGUGCUUAACACAUGCAAGUCGAACGGAAAGGCCCUGCUUUUGUGGGGUGCUCGAGUGGCGAACGGGUGAGUAACACGUGAGUAACCUGCCCUUGACUUUGGGAUAACUUCAGGAAACUGGGGCUAAUACCGGAUAGGAGCUCCUGCUGCAUGGUGGGGGUUGGAAAGUUUCGGCGGUUGGGGAUGGACUCGCGGCUUAUCAGCUUGUUGGUGGGGUAGUGGCUUACCAAGGCUUUGACGGGUAGCCGGCCUGAGAGGGUGACCGGCCACAUUGGGACUGAGAUACGGCCCAGACUCCUACGGGAGGCAGCAGUGGGGAAUAUUACGCAAUGGGCGGAAGCCUGAUGCAGCAACGCCGCGUGCGGGAUGACGGCCUUCGGGUUGUAAACCGCUUUCGCCUGUGACGAAGCGUGAGUGACGGUAAUGGGUAAAGAAGCACCGGCUAACUACGUG
rnacentral:rRNA from 1 species